UACGUAGGCAGCGAGCGUUGUUCGGAAUUACUGGGCGUAAAGAGUGUGUAGGCGGUGCUCUAAGUCUGUCGUGAAAUCUCCCGGCUUAACUGGGAGGGUGCGGCGGAAACUGGUGUGCUCGAGGGUGGGAGAGGUAAGCGGAAUUCCUGGUGUAGCGGUGAAAUGCGUAGAUAUCUGGAGGAACACCGGUGGCGAAGGCGGCAUCCUGGACCGGUAUUGACGCUGAGGCGCGAAAGCUAGGGUAGCAAACGGG
rnacentral:rRNA from 1 species